rnacentral:rRNA from 1 species
UACGAACCGUGCGAACGUUGUUCGGAAUCACUGGGCUUAAAGGGCGCGUAGGCGGGUGAUCAAGUCAGGGGUGAAAUCCUUCCGCUCAACGGGAGAACAGCUUCUGAUACUGGUCAUCUUGAGGGGGGUAGGGGCAUGUGGAACUUCCGGUGGAGCGGUGAAAUGCGUAGAUAUCGGAAGGAACGCCGGUGGCGAAAGCGACGUGCUGGACCCUUUCUGACGCUGAGGCGCGAAAGCCAGGGGAGCAAACGGG